GAUGAACGCUGGCGGCGUGCCUAAUACAGGCAAGUCGAGCGAACAGAUGAGGAGCUUGCUCCGCUGACGUUGGCGGCGGACGGGUGAGGAACACGUGGAUAACCGACCUAUAAGACUGGGAUAACUUCGGGAAACCGGAGCUAAUACGGGAUAAUAUCUUGAACCGCAUGGUUCAAUAGUGAAAGACGGUUUUGCUGGCACGUAUAGAUGGACCCGCGCCGCAUUAGCUAGAUGGUAAGGUAACGGCUUACCAAGGCAACGAUGCGUAGCCGACCUGAGAGGGUGAUCGGCCACACUGGAACUGAGACACGGUCCAGACUCCUACGGGAGGCAGCAGUAGGGAAUCUUCCGCAAUGGGCGAAAGCCUGACGGAGCAACGCCGCGUGAGUGAUGAAGGUCUUCGGAUCGUAAAACUCUGUUAUUAGGGAAGAACAAAUGUGUAAGUAACUAUGCACGUCUUGACGGUACCUCAUCAGAAAGCCACGGCUAACUUCGUG
rnacentral:rRNA from 1 species